rnacentral:pre_miRNA from 1 species
AGAUCAGGUCCCAGUAGUACCAAAGUGCUCACAGUGCAGGUAGUUUUGGCAACAUUCUACUGUAGUGUGGGCACUUCCAGUACUCUUGGAUAACGGCUCUUGCUGAUG